GAUGAACGCUGGCGGCGUGCCUAAUACAUGCAAGUCGAGCGAACAGACGAGGAGCUUGCUCCUCUGACGUUAGCGGCGGACGGGUGAGUAACACGUGGAUAACCUACCUAUAAGACUGGGAUAACUUCGGGAAACCGGAGCUAAUACCGGAUAAUAUAUUGAACCGCAUGGUUCCAUAGUUAAAUACGGUUUUGCUGUCACUUAUAGAUGGAUCCGCGCCGCAUUAGCUAGUUGGUAAGGUAACGGCUUACCAAGGCAACGAUGCGUAGCCGACCUGAGAGGGUGAUCGGCCACACUGGAACUGAGACACGGUCCAGACUCCUACGGGAGGCAGCAGUAGGGAAUCUUCCGCAAUGGGCGAAAGCCUGACGGAGCAACGCCGCGUGAGUGAUGAAGGUCUUCGGAUCGUAAAACUCUGUUAUUAGGGAAGAACAAAUGUGUAAGUAACUAUGCACGUCUUGACGGUACCUAAUCAGAAAGCCACGGCUAACUACGUG
rnacentral:rRNA from 1 species